AUAAUAAUAAUUUAGUAUUUAUAUCCCGCCCAUCUGGCUGGGUUUCCCCAGCCACUCUGGGCAGCUCCCGACAGAAUAUUAAAAACACGAUAAAACAUCAAACAUUAAAAACUUCCCUAAACAGGACUGCCUUCAGAUGUCUUCUAAAUGUCAGAUAGUUGUCUUUCCUUGACAUCUAACAGGAGGGUGUUCCACAGGGCCGGUGCCACCACCGAGUAGGCCCUCUGCCUGGUUCCCUGUAACUUCGCUUCUUGCAGGGGGGCAACCGCCAGAAGGCCCUCGGAGCUGGACCUCAGUGUCCAGGCUGAACGAUGGGGGUGGAGACGCUCCUUCAUGUCUACUGGACUGAGGCCGUUUAGGGCUUUCAAGGUCAGCACCAACACUUUGAAUUGUGCUCGGAAAUGUACUGGGAGCCAAUGUAGGUCUUUCAGGGCCGGUGUUAUGUGGUCUCGGCGGCCGCUCCCAGUCACCAGUCUAGCUGCCGCAUUCUGGAUUAGUUGCAGUUUCUGGGUCACCUUCAAAGGCAGCCCCACGUAGAGAACAUUGCAGUAGCCCAAGCAGGACAUAACCAGAGCAUGUACCACUCUGGUGAGAUAGUGCGUGGGCAGGUAGGGUCUCAGCCAGCAUACCAGAUGGAGCUGGUAGACAGCCACAUUGGAUGAGGAACUGGCCAUCUUCAUGGACAGUUGAGUGUCCAAAAUGACCCCCAGGCUGCACACCUGGUCCUUCAGGGACACAGUUACCCCAUUCAGGACCAGGGAGUCCCCCACACUUGCCCACCCCUUCCCCCAGAAACAGUUCUUCCAUUUUGUCGGGAUUCAACCUCAAUCUGAAGACCGUCGUCCAUACUCCAGACACUUGCACAGGACGUUCACUGCCUUCAGUGCUUCCGAUUUAGAGGGGUAGAACUGGUUAUCAUCCGCAUAUUGGUGGAUACUCAGCUCCAACUCCCUGAUGAUCUCUCCAAGUGGCUUCAUUGAGAUGUUCAAAAGCAUGGGAAGGGGGACAGAGCCCCGAGGCACCCCACAAGUGAGAGCCCAGGAAUCUGAACACCCAUCCUCCCAACAUCACUUUCUGGACACGGCCCAGGAGAAAGGAGCAGAACCAUUGUAUAACAGUGCACCCAACACCCAACUCCUCUAGAUGGUCCAGGAGGAUACCAGGGUCAAUGGUACUAAAAGCCACUGAGAGAUCCAGCGGAACCAGGAAACAGCUUUCACCUCUGUCCCUAGCCUGCAGGAGAUCAUUCAAGAUUCUGCUUGAACAGCACAACUUCUCUAUGCAGUGACAAAAUGUAUGUAAUGCUUUCUUCUUUGGAUGUUGAAUCUUCUACAGAGAGGUGGCAACUGCUGGGAGUGUAAACUUGUACAUUUUAAAUUAUUUAUAUAAAAAGGCUUCUAAUAAAAUAAAAAGGGGAAAAAACA